rnacentral:rRNA from 1 species
UACGUAGGGUGCAAGCGUUAAUCGGAAUUACUGGGCGUAAAGCGCACGCAGCGGUUCGCCAAGUUUUGGAGUGACAGUUGUCGGCUCAACCGACAAAGGACUUCAAAAACUGGUGAACUUGAGGAUGAGAGAGGUGAGUGGAAUUCCCAGUGUAGAGGUGAAAUUCGUAGAUAUUGGGAAGAACACCGGUGGCGAAGGCGGCUCACUGGCUCAUUUCUGACGCUCAGGCGCGACAGCGUGGGGAUCAAAACAGG